rnacentral:lncRNA from 1 species
UUUUGAGGAAAACAUCCCGACAGAACCAUGGGUGCCAUGAGGACCUUUGGCCGAGAUCCACCAAACCUGAAACAUUUUUAUUCAAUUAACACCACCAAUAGACUCUCCAUGAACCUAGAAACAAAGCCCAAUCAACCUUGGAGGCAUCGGAGCUUGUAUGGAGUUGAGUCAAGAACCACCCAUUUCUAGGGUGUCGAUGGGUUUUCGUGAAAUUGAGGCUUUUUUAGCCAAAUUGGCCUUAGUCACAAGUAUGAAAGUUGCUCCACUCAUUAAGAUCUUUAUUCCUGUAAAAUUUGAGAAUUUUUAGAAAUAAUUGAAUUUUCCGACGAGUUAGAGCGGCCGACCACCAUCAUCGGCAGCGCGUGCGGCUGUGUGUGGCCAGUGGGCCACCGAUGCUAUUUUACGCUAAAUCGAUAUAUUGAUCUCAGAUUUCACAUUCAUAUGAUGUGAUUUGAUUAUCGUGAAUCUAGUUUAAUUAAGGUGUGUUACUUGGUAAAAGUAUGAAUCGACGGUCCGGCCGUUGGAUCAUCACCAAAAUUGAAUACGUUAUAGUACGUAAUAUUUGAGAAUCAUAGGAACUUAUGGAUCAGGAAUCCGACGCUCGGAUCUUCCCUAAUUGGAAUUGUAAGUUCAUAAAAUAAAGCGUUAACCGUCACUUGAAUUUACAAGUGGCGGAGAUCCAAUCGUUGGAUCGUAAUGAAACUUUAGUAUGAUGUUUUAGAAGCAUAAUGUGGAUAUUUGGAAGUUACGGAUAGGAAAUCCAAAGUGUGGAUCUUUCAGAUCGAGUUACGUAGGGUUGUAGACCCUACCGUCAAUCUUUAACUGACGGUUAACUUUUAGUCAGUGGGUCUCGAAUCAUUAGCGCCUUAGGGAUGUGCUUUGCAUAAGUUACAUAUUCUAUCAAUAAGAAUUCUCAGAUAUGAUUUGAUAAUUGUUCUAGGCGCCAAACGUUUGUGACGUCUCGAUAUUCAUGUUAGGGAGUUGUAGCGUGGACUCCAAGUGAAUGGGCUUUUGUUAUAUAUAUAUAUAUAUAUAUAUAUAUAUAUGCUUUACGAUUUCCAUAAACUAUUUUUAAAUGAAUCUACGAUUUAAAUGUCAUGUCAAUGAUGCAUUAUAUUUUAGUAUUUGCAUUAGGAUAGUUUUGCAUACUAUUGAAUGAUGCUGCAGAGGCUCAGGUAAGCUUCAGGUGAGUACAUUAUGAUAAUGGUGGUUGCAUUGUGUAUGGUUAUACGUAGAUGCAUUUAGAGUUCAUUAUCCUGCACCCUGAUGUUAGUGCUCCCACAUGUGGCCAGGGCACAGUCCUUCAAGUGAUGUUCACCUCCCGCACCACACGUUUACCUUGGAUCCAAGUUUGGUGCACAGCCAUGUCGUAUAGACCACAAUAGGUGGUUCUGACUCAUAGGUGACCUGCGAUUUAUCACACAGCCUUCACGUGAUCGUAGCACCUAAGCAUACUUAUUUACACCCAGCUUUGUCGUACAGACCAGAAUAGGUGGUUCUGACUCGUGUGCAGGAAUUGGUUUAUGAGUUAUAAGUUCAGCCGUACAUAUCACAUUAGGUGACUCCGGCUGACAUUUCAUUUUAUAUUGAUUCACAGCACCUGGCUUACAUAUUAUUUGCUGAGAUACUUGACAUGGCACAUACUUUGGUUUUCAUUGCUUUCAAGCCUAAUUUCUAUAUACGAAUGUAUCAUUAUUUUCUAGAAAAGUAUACGGGUUUUACAGUGAGGGGUUAUUAUUUUUGGAAAGAGAAAUGGUUUCAAAAAGCUUUGUUUUUUGCCCACUCAUGUUUUCUUUAUUUCGCCCCUCCAGGUUUUAGCUACUGAAAGUUCAUAUCGACAAGGAUUCUUGGCGAAACUUAGCAUAGGUGGCUACCUCUAAGGGUAUGAUCCUUACCCACACUACUGUACUUUACUUAUGCUCUGAUGUCACGUGUGAAAUAAGUUCAUUCCUGCUCACAAUGCACUCUUUUCUUUAGACAUUAUUAGGUUUAAAUUUAUUUACAUUUUUCAAUAUCACUAUACUUUAUGGCUUCGUCACUUUCCAAGUGUCUGACAACACAGCUCGAUUCGAAGUCCUACUGGACAUUCCGGGUCGGGAUAUGUCACGCAUGAUAAAAAAAAAAAAAAAAAACGUAAUUAUUUAUAAUGAGUUGUAGAAAGUUUUCUUAAGUAGGAAAGAUAAUACGCUAUUAGGUUUAUUGAGAUUCCUUAGAGUCAAAAUCACUAUAACUAAAUAGCUUUGGUUUCAAAUCUUGUAGGUACCAUUCAUCUAAUGCAUGCUUGGGUAUCUCUCUCUUAGUUCAUCUACCUCAAACUUCAUCGGCUCAUUAACGUUAAAAUGCUUUAAGUAUGACUCAAAUAAACAUGCUACAGAUAUAUUUAUGGAGUUAAAUUUUAUUUAAAAUAACAUAUCUUGAAACCAUGAAUGCAUUAUAAAUUUAAAAAUAUAAUGUAUCGUGUUUCGAUGGAAUAAGAAAAGAAAAGAAGAACAUGGUCGUAAGGGAACUUGAGGGAACUAUGUUUUAAUUGGACCCCCUUAAAGUGAGGAUUUAGAUCUAUGCGUUUAAUAAAAGGAAAGGUUGUUAAAAAUCAAUCAAAGUGCUUAGUUUAUGUUUUUUUUUUCCGGUAAUUAAAGGUUGUUAAAGUCAGGUAGUUAUAAAAUGGAUUACUUUCAUUUUUGCUAAAGUCGAUUGCUAGAUCCAAUGCUCCUAAAAAGGACUUUGUCAUAUAGUGCUUAUUCACAAGGUGAAACAAUAGUGGAAUACCCUUCUUCUAGAAUUGUUUUCCAUGUAAAAAUAAUAUAGACAAAAAAAUAGUGUGCGUAAAUCAUUUCUAACCAGAAUUAUCACAUGAUUAAUACCUAAGGAGCUAUCUAGGCUGGUUCUGAGAAUUUGAGGGCUGUAGUGAGCCUUCAAAGUAGAGCCCUAAAGUCAUCUAGCUCCCAAUCCUUUGUACAUUGAUAUGUAUAAAACAAUACUGCCGAAUUUCACACUGCCAACACCAAGAAAGAUU